AGAGUUUGAUCCUGGCUCAGAACGAACGCUGGCGGCGCGUUUUAAGCAUGCAAGUCGAACGGUAUAUAUCCUUCGGGGUAUAGAGAGUGGCGAACGGGUGAGUAACACGUAGGUAAUCUGCCUUUGGGCGGGGGAUAGUUUAUGGAAACAUAUAGUAAAACCCCAUAAGGUUCAAUCAUGAAGGUGGUUGAAUGAAAAGCGCAAUUGUGCUGCCUGGAGAUGAGCCUGCGGUCCAUUAGUUAGUUGGUGGGGUAAAGGCCUACCAAGACGACGAUGGAUAGCCGGCCUGAGAGGGUGAACGGCCACACUGGGACUGAGACACGGCCCAGACUCCUACGGGAGGCAGCAGCUAAGAAUCUUCCGCAAUGGGCGAAAGCCUGACGGAGCGACGCCGCGUGAACGACGAAGGCCGAAAGGUUGUAAAGUUCUUUUCUUGGGGAAGAAUAAGGUAGGUAAUGGACUGAUCUGCCGAUGACAUUAACCGAGGAAUAAGCCCCGGCCAAUUACGUGCCAGCAGCCGCGGUAAUACGUAAGGGGCAAGCGUUGUUCGGAAUUAUUGGGCGUAAAGGGCGCGUAGGCGGUUUUAUAAGCCCGAUGUGAAAGACCACAGCUCAACUGUGGGAACGCGUCGGGAACUGUAAGACUAGAGUUCAGGAAGGGAAGCUGGAACUCCUGGUGUAGGGGUGAAAUCUGUAGAGAUCAGGAAGAACACCGAUGGCGAAGGCAAGCUUCUAGACAUGGACUGACGCUGAGGCGCGAAAGCGUGGGGAGCGAACAGGAUUAGAUACCCUGGUAGUCCACGCUGUAAACGAUGUACACUUGGUGUAGGGUACUUGAGUAUUCUGUGCCGGAGCUAACGCGUUAAGUGUACCGCCUGGGGAGUAUGCCCGCAAGGGUGAAACUCAAAGGAAUUGACGGGGGCCCGCACAAGCGGUGGAGCAUGUGGUUUAAUUCGAUGAUACGCGAGAAACCUUACCAGGGCUUGACAUUUACGGGAAUGUGCAAGAGAUUGUGCAGUCUGCUUUGCAGACCGGUAAACAGGUGCUGCAUGGCUGUCGUCAGCUCGUGCCGUGAGAUGUUGGGUUAAGUCCCGCAACGAGCGCAACCCUUGUCCUUAGUUGCCAGCACGUAAAGGUGGGAACUCUAAGGAGACUGCCGGUGAUAAACCGGAGGAAGGUGGGGAUGACGUCAAGUCAUCAUGGCCC
rnacentral:rRNA from 1 species